UGAUUGGACGCCUGUCACGACCCAUCGGAACGAAGUCGUAACGGCCGUCUGCGGGAAACCGUAACUACAAUGUGGCCCACGACAAAAAUGACUUUGACACCCCUGCGUUCGGCAUAAGCGGGGGACUGUUCUUGUUACGGCUGGACCCGAUCAGCAUUUGUGGAGGGGUGUGAUGAUUACUUGGACCUUUAUCUGACAAGAAAUGAAGAGUUACUUGCUUAUUUUAGAAAAACAAACCACCACGACCCAGAAGCAAG